rnacentral:tRNA from 1 species
GCCGAGGUAGCUCAGUUGGUAGAGCAACGGUUUCGUAAACCGUAGGUCGAGGGUUCGACUCCCUUCCUCGGCU